CUAAAUUCGAACAUGUAAACCAUGUCAAUUUCAUAAAUUUUGGCGAUGUUAAUAUUGAACACGAGGCGGUGGCAGCGACAUCAUUGACUGGGGGACCAGCAGCUCGAUCCGGCGAUUUACCACUCCGAAAAAAAUACAGCUGUUUUGCCUAACCUGAAACGUACAAACCCAAGCAACCCACCUAACCUGUCGAGGCCGACGCCUAACAAAAUGUCAACCUGCUAACUCUUGUGGCCUCGACGAGGACAGGAAGCCGACGGCUUGUCGAAGGUCCCUUCUUUUGCCAUGAUGAUCUCUCCAGGUAUAUUUUGAAACACAACAGAGUUUUGACAUUUAGGACUUGGGCAGGUACUAAUUUCUAUGGGUUUAAAACCAUGUGGAGGUGAAAAAGCAUCUCAUAUCUUUGUAGUAUAUAUUUUUAUAUAUGCAGUAUAUAUUAUAAUAUGUUCUCAGAUAUCCAUGUGAAAUUUGGAAUGUACUUGCAUUAUGUUCCGUAUUAGUCAUCAUUUUAAUGUUAUUUGCUCUUCAAUGUAAGAGUCACCGUUCGAAUUGUAAAUAAUGACGUUUUCAUUUGGUGUACAAAUGUUCACUCCAGCCACAACUGUAAUAAUUUCAAUUGAUCACUCAACAAAGGCUUUUAAAUCUUAAUAAUAAAAACUAUGAGGACGUUAUCUGUUAGGAAGAACCAUAUAGAAGACUUGCUUUGUUAUU